ensembl:lncRNA LINC-ROR long intergenic non-protein coding RNA, regulator of reprogramming
GACCCCACUGGAAAUCGGACUGUCCAACUCACCUGACAGCCACUCCCACAGCCGCUGGAACUCUGGCCCAAGGCUCUCUGACUCCUUCCCAGAUCUUCUUGGCUUAGCGGCUGAAGACUGACGCUGCCCGAUCGCCUCGGAAGCCCCCUAGACCAUCACGGACGCCGAGCUUCGGGUAACUCUCACAGUGGAAGAAGAAAACAGAUUCGGUUUACCUGAGACUCAACUUCAAUCCCUUGGACAGAAGAGUGCUAUGCUAGGUGCCAGCCCAAAAAUAUCGUCAGAGUGUCAGGGUGGGUCUUCCCCCUGUGGUUUCCACCACCUUGUGCCAACUCAAAUGAUGGGAAUGAUGUCAUUUAACAGACCUAGUGUGACCAAGACUGCGAUCUGUCCCUCAGUAUCUGUUCUCUUCUUAUCAGAAACACAACUACAGAUUUCUACCUGGUGCAUGGCCAUCGCUCAUGAAGACUACAACUUCCAGCUUCCUUUGAAGAAAAAGAGGACUUGAUGGCAUUGUCGCUAAGUAAGAAAU